rnacentral:rRNA from 1 species
CCUACGGGAGGCAGCAGUGAGGAAUAUUGGUCAAUGGGCGCGAGCCUGAACCAGCCACGUAGCGUGAAGGAUGACUGCCCUACGGGUUGUAAACUUCUUUUAUAAAGGAGUAAAGUGAGGCACGUGUGCCUUUUUGUAUGUACUUUAUGAAUAAGGAUCGGCUAACUCCGUGCCAGCAGCCGCGGUAAUACGGAGGAUCCGAGCGUUAUCCGGAUUUAUUGGGGUUAAAGGGAGCGUAGAUGGGUUGUUAAGUCAGUUGUGAAAGUUUGCGGCUUAACCGUAAAAUUGCAAUUGAUACUGGUAGUCUUGAGUACAGUUGAGGUAGGCGGAAUUCGUGGUGUAGGGGUGAAAUGCGUAGAGAUCACGAAGAAUUCUGAUUGCGAAGGCAACUUACUAAACUGCCACUGACAUUGAUGCUCGAAAGUGUGGGUAGCAAACAGGAUUAGAUACCCCAGUAGUC